rnacentral:rRNA from 1 species
AGGUUAACCGUAUAGGGGAGCCGUAGGGAAACCGAGUCUUAACUGGGCGAAUGAGUUGCAGGGUAUAGACCCGAAACCCGGUGAUCUAUCCAUGGGCAGGUUGAAGGUUGGGUAACACUAACUGGAGGACCGAACCGACUAAUGUUGAAAAAUUAGCGGAUGACUUGUGGAUAGGGGUGAAAGGCCAAUCAAACCGGGAGAUAGCUGGUUCUCCCCGAAAGCUAUUUAGGUAGCGCCUCGUGAACUCAUCUUCGGGGGUAGAGCACUGUUUCGACUAGGGGGUCAUCCCGACUUACCAACUCGAUGCAAACUGCGAAUACCGAAGAAUGUUAUCACGGGAGACACACGGCGGGUGCUAACGUCCGUCGUGAAGAGGGAAACAACCCAGACCGCCAGCUAAGGUCCCAAAGUCAUGGUUAAGUGGGAAACGAAGUGGGAAGGCUCAGACAGCCAGGAUGUUGGCUUAGAAGCAGCCAUCAUUUAAAGAAAGCGUAAUAGCUCACUGGUCGAGUCGGCCCGCGCGGAAGAUGUAACGGGGCUAAACCAUGCACCGAAGCUGCGGCAGCGACACGUAGUGUUGUUGGGUAGGGGAGCGUUCUGUAAGCCUGCGAAGGUGUACUGUGAGGUAUGCUGGAGGUAUCAGAAGUGCGAAUGCUGACAUAAGUAACGAUAAUGCGGGUGAAAAACCCGCACGCCGGAAGACCAAGGGUUCCUGUCCAACGUUAAUCGGGGCAGGGUGAGUCGACCCCUAAGGCGAGGCUGAAAAGCGUAGUCGAUGGGAAACGGGUUAAUAUUCCCGUACUGGUGGUAACUGCGAUGGGGGAACGGAGAAGGCUAGGUUGUCCGGGCGACGGUCGUCCCGGUUCAAGCAGGUAGGCAGAGUGAUUAGGCAAAUCCGGUCACUUAAUGCUGAGAUGUGAUGACGAACCACCAAGGUGGUGAAGCAAUUGAUGCCCCGCUUCCAGGAAAAGCCUCUAAGCUUCAGGUUACCAACAAUCGUACCCCAAACCGACACAGGUGGUCAGGUAGAGAAUACUCAGGCGCUUGAGAGAACUCGGGUGAAGGAACUAGGCAAAAUGGUGCCGUAACUUCGGGAGAAGGCACGCUGGCGGUAGGUAAAGUCCCUCGCGGACGGCGCUGAAGCCAGUCGAAGAUACCAGCUGGCUGCAACUGUUUAUUAAAAACACAGCACUGUGCAAACACGAAAGUGGACGUAUACGGUGUGACGCCUGCCCGGUGCUGGAAGGUUAAUUGAUGGGGUCAGCCGUAAGGCGAAGCUCCUGAUCGAAGCCCCAGUAAACGGCGGCCGUAACUAUAACGGUCCUAAGGUAGCGAAAUUCCUUGUCGGGUAAGUUCCGACCUGCACGAAUGGCGUAAUGAUGGCCAGGCUGUCUCCACCCGAGACUCAGUGAAAUUGAACUCGCUGUGAAGAUGCAGUGUACCCGCGGCAAGACGGAAAGACCCCGUGAACCUUUACUAUAGCUUGACACUGAACAUUGAGCCUUGAUGUGUAGGAUAGGUGGGAGGCUUUGAAGUGUGGACGCCAGUCUGCAUGGAGCCAACCUUGAAAUACCACCCUUUAACGUUUGAUGUUCUAACCUAGGCCCAUAAACUGGGUCGGGGACCGUGUCUGGUGGGUAGUUUGACUGGGGCGGUCUCCUCCUAAAGAGUAACGGAGGAGCACGAAGGUUGGCUAAGCAUGGUCGGACAUCAUGCGGUUAGUGCAAAGGCAUAAGCCAGCUUGACUGCGAGAGUGACGGCUCGAGCAGGUACGAAAGUAGGUCUUAGUGAUCCGGUGGUUCUGAAUGGAAGGGCCAUCGCUCAACGGAUAAAAGGUACUCCGGGGAUAACAGGCUGAUACCGCCCAAGAGUUCAUAUCGACGGCGGUGUUUGGCACCUCGAUGUCGGCUCAUCACAUCCUGGGGCUGAAGUAGGUCCCAAGGGUAUGGCUGUUCGCCAUUUAAAGUGGUACGCGAGCUGGGUUUAGAACGUCGUGAGACAGUUCGGUCCCUAUCUGCCGUGGGCGUUGGAAGAUUGAGAGGGGUUGCUCCUAGUACGAGAGGACCGGAGUGAACGCACCACUGGUGUUCGGGUUGUCAUGCCAAUGGCAUUGCCCGGUAGCUAAGUGCGGAAGAGAUAACCGCUGAAAGCAUCUAAGCGGGAAACUUGCCUCGAGAUGAGUCUUCCCUGUCACUUUAAGUGACCUAAAGGAACGUUUAAGACUAAGACGUUGAUAGGCUGGGUGUGUAAGCGUAGCGAUACGUUGAGCUAACCAGUACUAAUGAACCGUGAGGCUUAACCUG